CCUCCCCGCCGCGCGGGUCCCUGAGGCGAGCUGUGGCGGUGCCGCGGCGGCUGCUGCCUCGGGUCCUGCCCCGGUUCUCGCUGCGCGGCCGCGCUCGCCUCGCCGGCCCAGGGAGACGGGUGAGCUCCGGGCAGGCCCGCCCCGCAGCCUGCGGUCGCGCCCCGGCCUGAAGACCCUCUCGCCGGCCGGCCGGCCGCACGCACCACACCCCCCCCCCGCCUCCGCCGGCCUUUGGUAGCGCUGCCGCCGAGUGACCGCCUGCCGCGUCCGCUGGUGCCCAGCCCCGGCGCACCGGGUGUCCUGAGCGCCGGGAUGCAGAAGCUAAGAGAGGAAUAUAUGAAAUCUGCCGGAGCUGAACUGCAAUAGAACAGGAAAGCUACAGUUUUGCCUCACCACUUGAAGCACAGGCACAAAAAAACAUACUAUGAGAUGGAGUAACAUAAAAAUAUUGUCAUGCCUGCCACUGCAGCGGGAACUCCAAAAGUUGGGGAGUUGCAGAGGGAGGAUGUCCAAUUUUAGGAGACUGCUCCAGUGUAAGAUACAUCUGGUAAAGUGGACGGAGACUGCAUGGAUCAAAGAGUUCCAAUUCCAACCUUUUAUGUUGUAGGCUAAAAAACUGCAAGCUGCAGUGGGGAGUAUGGAUCACUGAACACAAACCCACAAGCAACAGAAAACUAAGAACACAUAUGUGCUUGACCUCAGCACUGCUGCCUGUAAGUUGUUCUCAAACCAACAAAAACAUUUCAGUGGCUGGAAAAGAUGAACAGCCCUGGUUGCCAAGUCAUGGCCCGAACUAUUCCAGGGGGCAGAAAAGACAGCUGGACUGCUGGUAAAGAACAAGGCUAUUUAAGGAGACUCGUUCUGGCCUAAUGGAAAAAGCAAGGAUAUAAUUAUCAAUUAUUUUAAACUAAAACAACAUUUCAGAUCCAGGAAAAAAAACAUCACAAGGAAGCACAAGAGAGAAGCUGGUUAGCUUCAGCUGGCAGCUCGAUCCAGGUACAAAAAGAGCAGAACGUGCUGCCCUUUAGAAGCAAGAAAAUGAGAUGUUUUCCACAAGAUGGUGAUGCUUCAACCUACAAAGCAAACUCUGAAUGCAGCUGCACUGUUGUUCCAAGCACUGGCACAAAGCUGAUCUGAUAACAGGCAGCCACAAAAGUGGUCAGUGGAACAGAGCUAAAGAAAUUAUUUUUAAAUAUAUGGCCAUAUGUUUAUAUCUCCAAGUCAUACUGGUGAUCUGCUUUCCCGUUCAGCCCUCUGGGCAGCUGCUUCUUGUGUGCUGCAGUGUUCCAUAUUAAGAAUUCCUAUGCAAAAUUCUGGCUGUCACCCAGAAUGCAUGUUACAGAGCAAACACACAAAGCCAAACAAACAACACUCCUAGAGUCUCUGUGAGAAGGGCCCGAUACACAACUGGCAAGGGGGGCUCAGAGCCGAAAUCUCCUAGAGAGGGAAAGCUCUUGAGCGUGACCAUCAAAUGCAGCCUUGUCUGCUGCAAAAACCCCACCAUUACUGAACUUAUCACCAUUCUUUUACCACUGCCUUAGUCACGGAUUGUUAACAGCCUCAGACUUCUGAACGGCUGCCCCAGCAGAUGCUUAGAAGUCACAACAGCAUUUAACAUGAUUUGUAAUGAGGGAGGGCAGCAGAAAAUGUUUUGGUUUUCUUUAACAGGAAUGCUCCGUUCAGAGCACAAUGCCUAUUACAAAAAAGGAACAAAACGUUGCUUUAGAAUUCAGUCAAAAGUGCAAGUUUAAAAUAAUUCUCGUCAUAUUUAUGACCUGUUCCUUAGCACUUCCUCUGCUAGCAGUUGCACGUUACAGCAUACAGCUCUAUAAAUACAUGUGGUAGCCCAAUAGUUGAAUGUCAUGGUAUAUGAUGAAACUUUUACAAGAACAUUCCCCAGGACUUCCCAAAAUUAACAGCUCUGAACAGCUUUUGUAAUUCCUAUUCAGGACUAAAGCAGAUUAAAUAUUUUAGAGAUUUAAAUG